UGAAACCGUGCCUGCAGCUUCUGCCA
rnacentral:piRNA from 1 species